CCUACGGGUGGCAGCAGUGGGGGAUAUUGCACAAUGGGGGAAACCCUGAUGCAGCGACGCCGCGUGGGUGAAGAAGCGCCUCGGCGCGUAAAGCCCUGUCAGCAGGGAAGAAAAUGACGGUACCUGAAGAAGAAGCCCCGGCUAACUACGUGCCAGCAGCCGCGGUAAUACGUAGGGGGCAAGCGGUAGCCGGAUUUACUGGGGGUAAAGGGGGCGCAGACGGCGAUGCAAGCCAGGCGUGAAAGCCCGGGGCCCAACCCCGGGACUGCUCUUGGAACUGCGUGGCUAGAGUGCAGGAGGGGCAGGCGGAAUUCCUGGGGUAGCGGUGAAAUGCGUAGAUAUGAGGAGGAACACCGGUGGCGAAGGCGGCCUGCUGGACUGCAACUGACGUUGAGGCCCGAAAGCGUGGGGAGCAAACAGGAUUAGAUACCCGAGUAGUC
rnacentral:rRNA from 1 species